rnacentral:lncRNA from 1 species
AAUCUUGCUUCGUCGAGAGCAUCCACCCACUGCACCAUCCCCACUGGCUUAUUUUGCAGCAAAUCCAGGAUACAGCUCAGGAACAACCAGAUGGAAGAGAUGCACAGGGCAAGGUGUGGGGAAAGGAUGAGGAGUUUCCCUGCUCUCUGAACGGACCACUCUCCCCAGAUCUCCAUGUGGUCACCAACCCAGAAGCUCUCUGAACCCCAUCCUUUUAGGUUUUCAUGGAGGCUUCAUUACACAGGCUAGGAACUGAUUGCUGCGCGCACCUGUGACCGCCCAGCUCCAGACAAUCAACUAGCCUCCUGCUACGCCCACCAAGAUAGCUGACCACUACCUGCUGUGUCCGUCAAGCACUGUGCCGACAGGGCAAUCUUGUGACUAUUGUGGGAGGGACAUUUCAGUCACAUGUGAAACACCCUGUUUGGGGGUAUAUAACCACUAUGUGCACCCCACUUCUUGGGUGCCCUUUCUUCCUUCGGGAAGAAAGGCCCCGGGCCAUGGUUCCUCAUAAAGCUUUGUUUAAUUUUCUCUUGCUAUUCUGUCUCAUGUGAAUUUAAUUCGUUCUCCAGCCAGACGAACCCAC